ensembl:lncRNA
UAUAUAUAUAUACUAGGGCUGAAACAAUUAGUCGACAUCGACAACGUCGACAAUAAAACAAAUUGUCGGCAAAUGUUUUUGAGUAGUGGUUUGAUCUCGUAUCUACCCAAUGUGAGAGGCUGCAAUAAUGUGGUUUGACCAGUGAGGCGCUGUAGCGCAAGACUGUAAUACAGCUCUCCUGAUUCAGUUCAAAAGAAGAAGACAUCGCUUCAGUUAACCUGAGAACCUGAGGCUGCUGAGCGGCGUUUGGAUGAAUAUAUUUAUGCAGAAUUUGAGACAUACAGAAUUACCAUAGGCCCAUUAGAAUCAACAAUCUUUGCCAAAAUGGAUCCGCACUGCAAAACUUAUGAAGAUGUUUGCUUGGACGAAUAAUUAAACCCUCUUGGUGCCCACUACACAGACUAAUGAAAUUGAAGUAUCCAAAUGAAGACCCUAGCGGUAAGGAGUAAAUUAUGAGUUUUAUUUAAAAAAAUUUGUUCAAGGUUGAUAAAUGCUUUGUUAAAGUUAAUACAGAAGAAUUUGAGUACUCCAUCCUUUUAAAUACUUCUAGGAUACAGACGUUGCCAGCAAUCAGGAGGUGAUCCAGAAGACUCGUGGGAAUCUAUAUGAAGGUGCAUCAUUGAAGACAGUCCAGCAGAUGUUGAAGUGUUGGAAGAUAAAGUUCUUCAGGACCUUAGC